GGGAGGGGACGGGGUGCGACGUUGGGUUGCGACCUGUGGCGGGGGGGACAGGUCAG
rfam:Camelus ferus unplaced genomic scaffold scaffold224, whole genome shotgun sequence.